UUGAGCCUGUUUACUGCGCGCCCAGGGCCCCACUCUCGUGCAGCCACCGUCACUUGUCAGCUGGGCCAUGGCGUGGGCCUCUUCACCAGUCUCCCCGCUCCUAGUCUGGCUCCCACAAGACAGUCUGCACACACCCACUGAGGAGUCCACAGUGCGAGCAGCGGCAGGUCAAGAGCCCCACAGGUGUGAAGAGUGGCAAUGAGGUCAUAAACCGUCAUGUGAGAGGUGCCCUCCCCAUACCUGGAGAAAAGGAGCGUCUGUAUCUCCAAAGACUGAGUCGCCAAGAAGAAUCCUAACUAACAGGCCUUGUGAAGCUGUCCCCAGUUACUACAAUUACUUCCUCCCCCUACCCCAUCACAUUUCUCCCUGACGGGCCACUCUUCAUCGAAGCUGGCGCGAAAAUACACAGGCAUGUUCCAGCCUCCCUUGGAUGUAGCCCACCUUCCCAGGCCACGCCAACCUGGGAUAAAAGUUCUCUUAGAUUAUCCUGGAUAACUGCUAUACCCAGCAAGACUUAGAAAACACAGACAGUAGCUCGGGGACAGCGUCAUCUGGAGCCAAAGAAAUCAGGACACAAUUUCGAAGAAAGAGCAGCAAACCCAUCCCUCUGGAGGCGCUCACCCACCUUGUGGUGUCGUUCCUGGCCCUGCACCUCCUUCUCAACGAUGGGAAUGUCCACGACUCCCGCUGAGGGCACCGGGACGCGCAUCGUGAUGGCCCUGAGGGGACACACACAGACCCUUGCUUAAGCCACAAAGGAGUUCCUGCUCUAUGAACGGAUGAAUAGAUGGAAGGGUGCCUACACCACCUCGACCGCUAUCGAUGGGCUUCAUACCAGUACUUCUUUGUCACCUGACGGGUUCUAAACAACUCUUGGACUUGAUGCGCCACGUCUUUUUCCCAAGCCAACACCAUUACGCCUGUAGUUUCCUUGUCCAGCCGAUGGCACAGAUGCAAGGGCUCUGCCUUGUGGCCGUGAAGCAUCUUCGCCAGGACAGGCAGUACAUCACUGAUGCAGAGCCGGACCCCAGGGCCACCUACGAAGGAAAAAGCCAGAGGUUUGAGAGGCCAGGAAAAGAUCUCACCAAAGACCUCUACCUGGGACAACAGUCCUUACUGGAUUAACAGUAAAUGCUUUCUAGAGCCUUAUUACUGAAUUGUGGUCCAGGGACUAGAAACAUAUCAGUCUGCCCAGGGAGCUCGCUAGAAAGGAAUCUCAGGCCUCCAACCCAGACUAAUUAAUCAAAAUCUGCAUUUUAACAAAAGGCCCAAGUGACUCAUAUGCAUAUUAAAGUUUAAAAAGCACCAUC